rnacentral:tRNA from 1 species
GUAGAGCACAUGCUUGACGUGCAUGGGGUCACAGGUUCGAGUCCUGUACCGCGCACCA